GCAUAUCAAUAAGCGGAGGAAAAGAAACCAACAGGGGAUUGCCUUAGUAACGGCGAAGUGAAGCGGCAAUAGCUCAAAUUUGAAAUCUGGCGCUUGCGUCCGAGUUUGUAAUUUGUAGAGGAUGAUUUUGGUUAGGUACCUUUCGAGUUCCUUGGAACAGGACGCCUUAGAGGGUGAGAGCCCCGUACGAUUGGAUGCCGAGCCUCUGUAAAUCUCCUUCGACGAGUCGAGUAGUUUGGGAAUGCUGCUCUAAAUGGGAGGUAAAUUUCUUCUAAAGCUAAAUACCGGCCAGAGACCGAUAGCGCACAAGUAGAGUGAUCGAAAGAUGAAAAGCACUUUGAAAAGAGGGUUAAAUAGCACGUGAAAUUGUUGAAAGGGAAGGAUUUAUGACCAGACUUUUUCUAGGAGAAUCAUCCGGUGUUCUCACCGGUGCACUUCUUUUAGUUUAGGCCAGCAUCGACUUUCGGCGGUGGAUAAAAGCUUUAGGAAUGUGGCUUCUCUCGGGAAGUGUUAUAGCCUAUUGUAUAAUACACUGCUGGGGGUCGAGGUACGCGCUUCUGCAAGGAUGCUGGCGUAAUGGUUAUCAAUCACCCGUCUUGAAACACGGACCAAGGAGUCGAACAUUUGUGCGAGUGUUUGGGUGUUAAACCCUCACGCGUAAUGAAAGUGAACGGAGGUGAGAGCCCUUACGGGUGCAUCAUCGACCGAUCCUGAUGUUUUCGGAUGGAUUUGAGUAAGAGCAUAAAUGUUCGGACCCGAAAGAUGGUGAACUAUGCGUGGAUAGGGUGAAGCCAGAGGAAACUCUGGUGGAGGCUCGCAGCGGUUCUGACGUGCAAAUCGAUCGUCAAAUCUGCGCAUGGGGGCGAAAGACUAAUCGAACCAUCUAGUAGCUGGUUACCGCCGAA
rnacentral:rRNA from 1 species